AAGCCCCGCCUCCUCCAUUUCCGAGGCUGUUUCUGGGGCCUCUGACAGACCUCAGCGUGUGAUGGGCUCCCGGCGUCGCACUGUGAGAGACCGAAGUCUGCAAGAUUUCAACAAAAUCCAAGAUUCUUCCAGGAACAACAGCAAAACCACUCUCAAUGCAUUUGAAGAAAUAGAGGGCUGUCUUCCUUUCUCUGCCAUCGUGGUGUGUUCUUGACUCCGCUUCUCGCCAUGUCUUCUCACAAGACUUUCAGGAUUAAGCGAUUCCUGGCUGAGAAACAAAAGCAAAAUCGUCCCAUUCCCCAGUGGAUUCGGAUGAAAACUGGAAAUAAAAUCAGGUACAACUCCAAAAGGAGACAUUGGAGAAGAACCAAGCUGGGUCUGUAAGGAAUUGCACAUGAGAUGGCACACAUAUUUAUGCUGUCUGAAGGUCACGAUCAUGUUACCGUAUCAAGCUGCAAAUGUCACCACUAUCUGGAGAUUUCGACGUGUUUUCCUCUCUGAAUCUGUUAUGAACACGUUGGUUGGCUGGGUUCAGUAAUAAAUAUGUGAGGCCUUUCGUUUUAAAAAAAAAAAAAAAAAAAGAAAAAGAAAUAGAGGAGUUCCCGGAAACGUCGGUGUAGAAGCAGAACCCAGAGCUGGUGUGCGCGUGCGCUGUCUGGCGCUGCAGGCGGAGUCACCGACUCUGUGCAGAGAGGAUUCGAGGGAUGAUGGAGUCUGGCUCUGCUGGCCUAGAAGCAGAGUGCACCCUCAUGCUCAGUGCUCAGUGGGUGUCUGAACUGAGGGGCAGUUGUCAGUUUGUCUGAGUGGGAAACAUCCUGGAUUUUGUUACUUGGCAAAGAGUUGGUGUAAACCUACAGCCAGCAGCAGUCUGGAGCCUGGGAGCCUCCUGAAGUCCUGGGUGAAGCCUCUGGUUUUACCAAUUGCAGGUCGGCUUGGCUGGGAGAGAUGGGUGGCGGGGAAGGGGCAGGAACCUUGAGGAGGAGGGAGAGGAGUCUUUCCUCCUACAGCUUCCCCCUGUCAGCCCCAACCCCAGCCCACACAUUGUACCAUCUCUCCUGCUGUGACUGGGUUGCCUGAAUUUGUGGGAGACCCUUGAUUCCAUCCCAGAGUGUGCGGGGGACGGAGCUGAAGGGGAAGCUUGUGAGAGAGAAGCAUCUGCCAAGACUUCGAGCUUAUUUUUAUGUCCUCAUCCUCUGAUGUUCUCCUUCUGAAAUGACACGGAGUCAGUCUGGGGGGCAGAGGUGAAGUGGAGACGGAAGGAUUUUCCAGGUGACCGGGGCCAAAACCACCAGAACAUCCACUCUGCCGCCACUGUCUGGUGAAAGGAUUCAUGUAAAAAUGUUCGAGGUGGAAUUAUAAAAAUAGUAACCAUAAGUGUUAAUCUUAAAUAGCAGAAAUAGAAACUUGGCCUUCAGAUAACAUGGCGAUUGAUUAGUUCAUCUGGCUUGAGGCAAACUGAGGAGUCCGGGCCUAGCAGUGCCCUCUGGGCCGGUUUCUCUGCCCUGGGCCACUCUGUGUGCCAGACUAGCUGGACAGAUAGAGACUCUGUGCCCCUGAUGGGGCUGGCUGGGGAGAGGUGGGCUGGGGUGUGUGAGGCUUCACCAUCCACAGCAGCCCCUGCCCUCCCAGCUGACCCAGGGAGUAACCGCACGCUCUAAGCCACAGUGGUCGGGGCUGGGCGUGGACCGCUGGAGAAGAGAAGAUUUGAGGGGGACUGUCCUAGAGGCAGGAGGAGCGGAUGUGUUCCAGAAUGGGCAGAACUAGGAAACUGAGAAAGAUUUUGGCUCAAUAGAAUCCAGCAACUGCUCCACAUGUUGGAGAUGUGUAAGCAGAAGCUGGUCGAGCACUUAAUGAGGAAUGUUGUUGAAAAUGAUCAUUGGAAGAAGUUUAAGAUCUCUUUUAGCCUGGAGAUUGUACAAAUCAGCAUUCCACAUCUGGAGUUAGCGACCCGCAUUAAGCCUGAACAGACAUCUUGGUCUGAAAGGAAGUGGUUUGGAUUCAUGACGCCACGCUCUACACUAUGGAGCUGGGAAUUCCAGAAUUGCUUUGACUCAGAUAUUAAUGGAGAAAGUUAUAUCCAUUAGUGGAUAAAGCCAUAUCUGUUAUGGAUAAAGCCAUAUCCAGAACUGCUUUGACUCAGAUGUGAAUGGAUAAAGCCAAUUAUUGAUUUCUAUUUGCCUAACCUGCCAGCUUUUGUCCCAGCGGCGAAUGGAGAGCCACACGGAUGUUUGUCGUCUCCCACGUUUUGGUGAUCUGCUGUCUGUGGGUCUCGAUGGAAUUUGUUGGCAAGACCGUUUUCUGUAUUGGAUAUUCUUCCCAACAGUGUCCACCCCAAAAGGCUUUCAGCCGAAAGGUCUGAGCCUAGGUAGGUUUACCAAGGGAAGCCAUGAGUCAAGAAGCAUCAGAGUGAAAAGGAUCACUUCCUUUAUUUUACCCGCAGGGGCUAAUGCUCCGAGAGGAAUGUGUACUUGGGCAAGGUCAUACAGGAAGGUCAUAUCAGAGCUGUGCAGGCUGGAGUGUCCUGAUUCUUGGACCACAGAUGUCUCCCUGAGCCAUUAUUUAUUUAUUUUUGAAAAGCACAGUUAUUCCAUCAUUUUGAGUCUUUCUUUGUAGUUGGCUUACAUUGGGGGGCAGGACUGUUUUCUCAGGUGUCUCAUUUGGCAGUCAGCAUUGUCCCCUAUGUUCCCUAUGACUAGCUGAAAAUUCAAGUGUGCCCAUAGGGGUGCACAAAACCACACCCACACCCACACCCCCACACACAUACCCACACCCCAUUAAACCCAUGGGUCUAUCAGGACAUCUUAAAACUCCGUGAUUGGCCGGGCGCGGUGGCUCACGCUUGUAAUCCCAGCACUUUGGGAGGCCGAGGCAGGCAGAUCACGAGGUCAGGAGAUCGAGACCACGGUGAAACCCUGUCUCUACUAAAAAAAAAAAAUACAAAAAAAUUAGCCGGGCGUGGUGGCGGGCGCCUGUAGUCCCAGCUACUCGGAGAGGCUGAGGCAGGAGAAUGGCGUGAACCUGGGAGGCGGAGCUUGCAGUGAGCCGAGAUUGCGCUACUGCACUCCAGCCUGGGCGACAGAGCGAGACUCUGUCUCAAAAAAAAAAGAAAAAAAAGAAAAAAACAGACAACCCCAUCAAAAAGCAGGCAAAGGAUAUGAACAGACACUUCUCAAAAGAAGACAUUUAUGUGGCCAACAAACGUGAAAAAAAGCUCAUCAUCACUGGUCAUUAGAGAAAUGCAAAUCAAAACCACAGUGAGAUACCAUCUCACGCCAGUCAGAAUGGUGAUUAUUAAAAAGUCAGGAAACAACAGAUGCUGGCGAGGCUGUGGAGAAAUAGGAACACUUUUACACUGUUGGUGGGAAUGCAAACUAGUUCAACCAUUGCGGAAGACAGUAUGGCGAUUCCUCAAAGAUCCAGAAGCAGAAAUACCAUUUGACCCAGCAAUCCCAUUACUGAGUAUACACCCAAAGGAAUGUAAAUCAUUCUACUAUAAAGACACAUGCACACAUGUUUAUUGCAGCACUAUUUACAAUAGCAAAGACAUGGAACCAACCCAAAUGCCCAUCAAUGAAAGACUGGAUAAAGAAAAUAUGGCAUAUCUACACCAUGGACUACUACAUAGCCAUAAAAAGGAAAGAGAUCACGCCCUUUGCAGGAACAUGGAUGAAGCUGGAAGCCAUCAUCCUCAGCAAACUAACACAGGAACAGAAAACCAAACACCACAUGUUCUCACUCAUAAGUGGAGUUGAACAUUGAGAACAUAUGGACACAGAGAGGGGAACAACAAACACCAGGGCCUGUUGGGGGGUAGGGGGUGAGGGGAGGGAACUUAGAGGAUGGAUCAAUAGGUGCAGCAAAACACCAUGGCACACGUAUACCUAUGUAACAAACCUGCAUGUUCUGUACCCGUAUCCCCCCCCUUUUCUUGGAAGAAAUAAAAAAAUAAGAGGGCUCUAUCCAUCAUGGCUGUUGGCUGUCAAAUUAUUUUGAGUGAAUAGAAACCCAUGGUUCCACCUGGAGAACAGAGGGUAUAAAUCCCUCCUGUCCACCACACAGGAUUUUCAGGAGGAGGCACUGACAGAAUGGAUAGGAAAGAGCUGACGUUGUUACUAUCAUUAUUACCGAUCAGCCUAACUCAUAGGUAUAUGCAGUUCUUCAUUCCUUUGAGUUAUUUCAUAAGGAUGGCUGUUCUCAACUUGAACGCCAAGUCUUGAAUGCUUGUCUUGAUGGGUUGUGGAACUUGCAACCGAUUUGUUAAUAAGUGAAAUACUGCAUUUGGUGAAUUAUUUACUUAAUUCAGAUGAUUCCCAGAAUAACUUCCUUCACUGGGAUGUAUCUUGUUGAGUGGCAACAAAACAAGGAUUGUACGUGAUUCCCAUCCUAGCUUAAUAGGCGUUAGUCCAAAACCCAGGAAUGUGCCAUCCGUGGGGAUGUUUUGGGUGGAUGGGUAGAAAAAGGGUGGAAACCCUUGUCAUAGGAUAUAUUUCUGGGAAGGAGAUGCCUAGGUCAAUAGGUUUCAACAUUUUUAUGGUUCUUGAUACUGUGAAAAAUUACCUCCCCAAAGGAUUCCAUCAAUGUGUUCAGCCUUUGAGAUUGUAUGCUACACCGUUUACAGAGCUCUUUCGGUCAUGUUGGUUAUUGUUUUGUAGGUUUGGUGAGUGUCGUACCCCAGUUUAACAGGUAGGGAGAUCGAGACUUGGAGACAGACGGAAUGACAUGUGAAGUUCACAAUCCUUUUUCCUGGCCGGAGGAUCCAGGUUCUCUGAAGCUUAGUUAGUCUAGUAUCAAGAACUACCAUUUUUCUCACUGCACCAGCACCCCCUCUGACAGUAACAGCAAAGUUCUGCAGAAAGGAUUCAGUCCAACUCAAAAAAUGUAUCUCACCUGCUAUGUGUGAAGAUUUAGAACCAAUUCAACGACAAUUGAACAUGAAGUACGGGCAAUGACAGAUGAUACAAAUAUAAGAAUUUCUUCCACUUAAGAUGGUGGUAGGAGGGGAGAGGGACGUGAAUAUUUAUAAAGUUCCGUGCACUUUACAUACAUGUCUGAUUUAAUGUUUAUAGCAACCCUUGUUACUGUCCAGCUGUUCUCUUUCAUUGGUUUUGUUUUAUUUUUUAAAACCAUCAUAUUUUGUUAUUUCAAAACCAUCAUACUUCUUAAACCUGUGACCCCACCGCUUCCGUAUCAAUAGCUGUUGUUGGUUUUAUCCCAUUUUACAGUGAAAAUGGAAGCCGUAGGUUGGAAACACCUUCAACUUCUGACCACCAAACCAGUGAAUUUAUUUGCACCCACAUUCCUAAGUUUGGUUGCCUUCCCCUUCCUCCCUCCCUCCCUCCGUCCCUCCCCUCCCUCCCUCCCUCCCUCCCCUCCCUCCCUCCCCUCCCUUCCUCCCUCCCUCCCUCACUCCCCCCCUCCCCUCGCUUCCUCCCUCCCUCCCUCCCUCCCUCCCCUCCCUUCCUCCUUCCCUCCAGGGUUGCCUGUUGAAUGUUGUUAGGAAUCUAAGUACUGAAGGGAAACUGCCUGGGUUUGAAUUUUGUUCUGUCCCUUGCACCCUGCCUGGCUUCAAAUCCUAGCUCUGCUUAUUCAGUUCUUUUAAGGGGAUGAUAUUUGAGCAAAUGUAUUAGCUUCUGUUUUCCCAAGUAAAUGGACACAAUAGUUGCUACCUUGUGAAAGAGUCAUGUAAUUGACCAGCAUUUACCAAGUAGCAUCAGUGUUCAGUUUCAGUCAUUGGUGAUUCUGCAGUUGGACUGUGAGGGGGUGUUGGGGUGGGGGGUGGUGUGUGUGUGUAGCACUUCAUUGCGUGGAGAAAGGAAAAGAUACUUUUGAUAACUGACAGGCAGCUUUUCUCUGCUUUCGUGUCAAAAGGGAAGAAGGGAGUUUGGAGAGGGAAAGGAAUUCUCUGUAACACUAAGCUCUCUUCCACAAAAACAGAGGUACAGAAUAUGUAAUAAUUUACAGAAUUUCUAGACUUCAAGGAUCUGAUUUUUUUAAAUUUACUUUUAAUUUUUCAGGUUGAGACUGAGCUAAAGUUAAUCUGCGGCGACGUUCUGGAUGUACUGGACAAACACCUCAUUCCAGCAGCUACCACUGGCAAGUCCAAGGUUUUCUAUUACGAAAUGUAGGUUCUAUACUAACAAUUAACAAGUGUACUUCAAUACAUUUAAACAUUCUCAGGAAUAAUUGGCUUUGUUUCUUUUUUUUCUUAGGCAUUUAAUAUUAUUUUCCUUAUUAAAUAUAACCAAAAAUCCCACAGAAAUUAACAAGAGGAGGAGCCUCUAAAUAUCAACAAAAUUAUCACUUGAUAGACUAGAAUUAAACAAGCAAAUGAUUCUAAGAAAUGGCACAAGUGUAUUCAUCAUAAAAUAAAAUUUCUACAUGAAACAUUCA